AAGAGUAUACAAAAAAACAGAGAAAAGGUUGCGCCAAGAGAAAUAAAUAAAUAUUAUACAAACAUUUUAUUUGGCGCAGCCUUUUCUCUGUUUUUUUGUACCUUCUC